AAAUGCUUGACCGCCAGAUUUGAACUCUGACCUCUGACCUCAGACUCUGACAACUUCAGAAGAGUAGCGCGUAGUUACUUCAAAGGCGUUGAAAGGAGUAACUUCAGAGGAGUACCGCCCGGUUUGGUCUGUGCGUGUGCGCACCAGAGUCCCGGGUCACACACACUCCUCGAAGAGAGCUGGAGCAGCGUUAAGUUUGCAGCCAACCUCGACCAAGAUUUCAAUUGAGCAGGAGGUCACAUUGCCCACCACACCAAGGCGGAUCAUGCUAGGAAGAAGUUUGACGUCUUCCACCCAUUGGAUGGUCAGCAUUGAGGGGAAGGUCCUCUUUGAAGCUAACCAACUUAACGCCAGUGCUUUUGUCGUCUUCUUUGGCUCCUUUUAUGCGUUCAAUCUUGAAUAUCAAGAGUCAGCAUCUACUACACUGGAGUUGGUACAAGGAUCAACCCAGAUGAGGGAAGCAAGUGCAUGGC